rnacentral:ribozyme from 1 species
UGCCUAGCAACUCCUAUCCCUACCUCCUCGUGGUACUGUCCGGGGUACGAGUAACCUUGGGGAAGAUCGGGUAACCUACCCCGGUGGGAGCUUUGGUCGUAUGCUGACAGGGAAGG